rnacentral:rRNA from 1 species
UACGAAGGGGGCUAGCGUUGCUCGGAAUCACUGGGCGUAAAGCGCACGUAGGCGGCUUUCUAAGUCAGGGGUGAAAUCCUGGAGCUCAACUCCAGAACUGCCUUUGAUACUGGAGAGCUUGAGUCCGGAAGAGGUGAGUGGAACUCCGAGUGUAGAGGCGAAAUUCGUAGAUAUUCGGAAGAACACCAGUGGCGAAGGCGGCUCACUGGUCCGGUACUGACGCUGAGGUGCGAAAGCGUGGGGAGCAAACAGG